UACGGGGGGAGCAAGCGUUGUUCGGAUUUACUGGGCGUAAAGGGCGCGUAGGCGGUCAGCACAAGUCAGUUGUGAAAUCUCCGGGCUUAACUCGGAAAGGUCAACUGAUACUGUGCGACUAGAGUGCGGAAGGGGCAACUGGAAUUCUCGGUGUAGCGGUGAAAUGCGUAGAUAUCGAGAGGAACACCUGAGGUGAAGACGGGUUGCUGGGCCGACACUGACGCUGACAGCGCGAAAGCCAGGGGAGCAAACGGG
rnacentral:rRNA from 1 species